rnacentral:tRNA from 1 species
AGAAGGUUAGUCCAAGACAAGACCUCUGAUUUCGGCUCAGAUAACCAUGGUUUAAAUCCAUGACCUUCUU